UCUGAAAUUUUUUUUUUUUUUUUCCCAAACAUUAAGAUAUAUGUGAGGACUUUCUUCUGCUGUAGUUUGAGACUGAUCCAAUGAGGAUGCCGCUUACAAUCGAGCAAAAAGGGAAACUGGUAGAAUUCUACUUUGAGACCAAAUCUAUGGUGCAAACCCAACGACAAUAUCAGUGCCAUUUUGCAGUUAGAAAAGCUCCA